CAUCCUGUGAAUUGGAGAUGUGUACUCUGCAAGUCACCACCUCUACACUCAAAUGGCUUGACAAGCCUGGAUAUGUCUCCCUUUGUUUGUUCUCACAAAAAGGCAAAGAGAAAAGCCCCUAAAUGAAGCUCAAGUGGUUGGAGGAAGAGGCUGUUGGUUGAUUGUGUGUUCAUGAUUUAAUUUUUGGCAUUUUUUAUUGUUUUAUAAUUGAAAAUUUUAACCGGGUCACAAAUGACCCGAACACCACAAAAGUCAUUUUUUUCACCAGAGCACUUUAUAAUUUAGUAAAAAAAUAUAUAUAUAUUUUACUUUGUUUAAAUGGAAGUCCCUGACAAAGUCAAAAAGUUUCAACGCAAGAAACAAAUGUAUGAAGUACUUUUAUGCAUGCUAAAACUCAAAACGGGUCCGUAGGGACCCUAACACCAUAGGAAGGUUAAAUUAUAACAACACAUUUU